rnacentral:lncRNA from 1 species
CCUAGCUGGUUCCAGCCAAACACCAGCGUUAACUCGGGGGUAUUUGCUGCGGUGGUUGGGAGGGUGGUGCGUGGCUUUUGCCUUUUGUUUGAUUUGACUGUGUGUUUUCACCACUGCCAUAUCCAGAGCCCUAAACAGCCCUCAGCGAAGCCGCCUUUUUGCCAACCCAACCCUGGAAAGUUUGCAGAAGUGGAAGGACAGAAAAUGCCCCGAGAGUGUAACUUUCAAAAAGGUUUUUGGCCGGAGAAGGGGCCGCGGCAGGUACCCCCUGGGUGGACAGCCCUCCUUUGGACAGCACGAGCAGGCCUAGUUUGAAUCUCAAAGUCCUCCCUCCAAGGUAGGUGUGAACCCUUUUCCCAGGCCGUGAGGGCCACUUGGGGGGCUUUGGCCUGCAGCCCAGUGAGGGCGGGAAUCCCAAACCGGCUGGGCUGGUUCU